UAACGCGUUGAUUUUCUUUUCUUCCUCUAAAAUGGUUCGAUAUUCGUUUUUUUGUUUGUGUUGUAGUCACGAAUGGAAACGAAAAAAAGUCAUUAUCAUUAAGAGAACCAAAAAAAAUCAUAAUAACUGUCAUAAACAGGAAACAAAGGAGGAGAAAAGUAAAAUUAAACAAGGGUGGAACACAGAGACAACAUUGUUCAAUUGAGGCUUUCCAGUGUUGAUGUCGAACUUUCUCUCGAGUCAACAUACACACGAAUUGCAGCUGUGAAUAGGUCAAUGCCCUACCACAAGCAUACUCAAAGAGAAAAUAGGACGUUUUAGUCUUUUGUUUGUGUACCUCUGUCUCGUGUCAAAGGUGAAGAAUCGAGUGUGCCAUUUUGCUGAUCGGCAUCCGACGUCUGCGUCUGACUGUCGUCCACUCCUGCACGUGUGAAAGGCGAGUGUUAAAAUACACGUACGGAUGAAAUGAACUCAUUUCGAUUUACCAUUGACGACGUAAAAGACGACGAGGAAGAUGGCGACUGCAGCGCAGAUGACGGCCAGGGCGAUCAACACUCCGCACAGGAGAUCUUUACCAACUCGGCCGCCUUUGCAACAAGUGGCGCUUUUGCUGUUCCCACCCGCGUACUGCGGCACAGAUUCCACUGAUACCGUGUACAAUUCCUGCGAACUCUGUUUGUUAAAAAUAAAAAUGGAAAUUAAAUCAUC